GCGCCAGUAGCUCAGCCGGAUAGAGCAACGGCCUUCUAAGCCGUAGGUCGCGGGUUCGAAUCCCUCCUGGCGCGCCA
rnacentral:tRNA from 1 species